rnacentral:rRNA from 1 species
CAAGUCGAGCGGUAGCACAGAGAGCUUGCUCUCGGGUGACGAGCGGCGGACGGGUGAGUAAUGUCUGGGAAACUGCCUGAUGGAGGGGGAUAACUACUGGAAACGGUAGCUAAUACCGCAUAAUGUCGCAAGACCAAAGUGGGGGACCUUCGGGCCCCAUGCCAUCAGAUGUGCCCAGAUGGGAUUAGCUAGUAGGUGGGGUAACGGCUCACCUAGGCGACGAUCCCUAGCUGGUCUGAGAGGAUGACCAGCCACACUGGAACUGAGACACGGUCCAGACUCCUACGGGAGGCAGCAGUGGGGAAUAUUGCACAAUGGGCGCAAGCCUGAUGCAGCCAUGCCGCGUGUGUGAAGAAGGCCUUCGGGUUGUAAAGCACUUUCAGCGGGGAGGAAGGCGUUAAGGUUAAUAACCUUGGCGAUUGACGUUACCCGCAGAAGAAGCACCGGCUAACUCCGUGCCAGCAGCCGCGGUAAUACGGAGGGUGCAAGCGUUAAUCGGAAUUACUGGGCGUAAAGCGCACGC